rnacentral:miRNA from 1 species
AAAGCUUCCAUUUUGUCCCUGA